GACGAACGCUGGCGGCGUGCCUAACACAUGCAAGUCGAACGGAAAGGCCAUGAUUUUGUGGGCUGCUCGAUUGGCGAACGCGUGCGUAACACGUGAGUAUCCUGCUCUUGACUUUCGGAGAAGAUCAGGUAACUGGGGUUACUAUCGGACAGGAUCUCCUGUUGCAUGGAGGGGAUUGGAUCGUCUCGGCGGUUGGGGUUGGACUCGCGGCUUAUCAGCUUGUUGGUGGGGUAGUGGCUUACCAAGGCUUUGACGGGUAGCCGGCCUGAGAGGGUGACCGGCCACAUUGGGACUGAGAUACGGCCCAGACUCCUACGGGAGGCAGCAGUGGGGAAUAUUGCACAAUGGGCGGAAGCCUGAGGCAGCAACGCCGCGUGCGGGAUGACGGCCUUCGGGUUGUAAACCGCUUUCGCCUGUGACGAAGCGUGAGUGACGGUAAUGGGUAAAGAAGCACCGGCUAACUACGUG
rnacentral:rRNA from 1 species